AUUGAACGCUGGCGGCAGGCCUAACACAUGCAAGUCGAACGAGUGGCGGACGGGUGAGUAAUGUCUGGGAAACUGCCUGAUGGAGGGGGAUAACUACUGGAAAAGGUAGCUAAUACCGCAUACCAUCGGAGGUGGCCAGAUGGGAUUAGCUAGUAUGUGGGGUAAAGGCUCACCUAGGCGACGAUCCCUAGCUGGUCUGAGAGAAUGACCAGCGACAUGGGAACUGAGACACGGUCCAGACUCCUACGGGAGUCAGCAGUGGGGAAUUUUGCACAAGGGGCGCAAGCCUGAUGAGGCCAUGCCGCGUGUAUGAAGAAGGUCUUCUGGUUGUAAAGUACUGUCAGCGGGGAGGCGUUACCCGCAGAAGAAGCACCGGCUAACUCCGUGCCAGCAGCCGCGGUAAUUC
rnacentral:rRNA from 1 species